UUUUGGAUCGGAGGGGAUUCCUCACACUGAAUACGGUAGAACAGCAAGGCACAUUAAUUCAUGCUCACCAAUUUUCUAGAAAAGAUUUUAGUUUAACCUUCAUGCUACGUGGAAAGCUUAACCAGAAAAGCAAAUUUUCCAAAUAUUAACAUGUGUACAAGCCUACACCUUUUUUUUUUUUUUUUAAGAAAAAUGCUUCAUGUACGAGUUAUACAAAAAGGAAAACAAAAUACAUAAAUACCAAAAAAGAAAAUCUUAGGAUAACUAAAAGGUGGCCCCUUUCCAAGUUCAGUACAUGUACAUAUUAGUCCUUUAAAUUUCCCUAUCAUUUUAUAUAACUAUGAGAUUGUUCCCUAAACAAUAUGCUGAAUAUAAAUUUUCUAAGCACAUUAUAUGUUUACUCUUCUGUGAUUCAAGGCCGGCCUAAGUAUAAACAUUAAGCAACAAGAAUAAUCACAUUCUAAAAAUGUGGAAUAAUUACAUUUUUUACUUUCAACACCUGGUGUCACCAGCAUAACACAGUUCAGGACUUUACUGCUCUGUGCUGAGUGUGCCCAAGGCCGUGGCGACCAGGCCUUCGUCAGGGAGGGAAGCCUGUGGUGGCUCAGCUCACACCUUCCAGAAGCACAGAGGCACCCAGGCAGCUGUGUUCUCAGCAAUCACACAGGUUUAAAGGUGGUUUUUGAUAUUUGUUUUUAAUUUUGAACACAGUGAUGCAAGGAAAAGACUGGAGUGAAAUAACCCUGAAAUACUUUUUUUUUUCUGGAUAUGAACAGGUCACAAGUGAUGGGCUGUCGCCCUUCUCCUCAAUCCUGUGGCCCUGGGUCCCUGCCUCCUCCCCAAAUUCAGCUAAUCUUGUUUAGGUCGAUUUGGUGAUGACAUGGCUGAAACUAAAAGCCCAAGAUCUGUGAAAACAUCAUUCUUUAAAGUACUUUACAUUUAGUUCGCAGAUUUCAGGAAGGCGAGAAUCAGUCCUUCCGACAUCACGAGUAAAGGCCACAGUGCUGAUCUGAGAGACGGAGGCAUGAGUGUUGCGGAGCCUGGUCCCGCCUGCUGACCACCCGACAAUGCAGGCGCUGGCGCCAUCUCCCAGGGGCAGCGCAGGCAGGGCAGCGCUUGUAAGAUGAGACUGCAAGUUACAGCCCUGACGCUGCACAAGCUGAAUGUGUUUUAAAACGAGGUAACUACCUAGUAGCUCUCCCCUGUCUCCCAGCAGCAAAGGGAUCCCACAAAACCCUCUCCGCAGAAGCUAGGUUCUAACCAUCAAAGUCCAGGAACAGACCUGCUUACCAAUCAGCAAUAAGCCAGCAGCAGAAGUCUGUAUACAGUUGGCAUCUUAUCAGAAGACCCUGUAGACAACAUGGCUGUGGCAGGUGCAGGUGCAUGCAUGUCACCUGGGCAGCACCUGAACCACCUGGUGCCCCCACCUCCCCAAGCGCUCCGGGCAGUUCUGUACAUUGAUAGCAAGGCUCCUGCUUCCUCCCACUUCAACUCACCCGGGAUGAGCAUCCCCUACGCUGUCUCACUGCCUGCAGGACAUGCCCCUCCCUGCUCCCGGCCUGGGGCUCUGCGAGCCCCGGGGGGCCCCAUGAUCCUGCCCCCUGGCCUGCAGGUCUCUGUGUGUGAUCCCCACCCCCUGUGCAGAGACUGGGUUUAGUGAUUCACUUCAAACAGACAGAGCCCAGAGCAGCUGAUGGGAUGUCGCCCCCGAGGUUUAGUUUUAACAAGAGUGUGGCUCCAUCUGGGGGGCUCGCCGUGCCCUGCCCCCCUCAGGGAAGCCAGCUACGAUGCUAUGGGCCUUCCUAAGGAGACACCUGCAUGGAGAGGGACUGAGGUCUCCCCAGAUGGACAGAAGGGGCCCUGCUGGCUGUCACGUGUGUGAGCUCAGACCCUCCCAAGUCGGCCCAGGGAGACCACAGCCCCACUGCAGCCCUGAGAGCCCGGGGGGACCAGCGCCACCCCCCCCAUGGCCCUCGGACUCUCAUCCACCAGCUGUGGGCGGAUGUCUGCUGCUGCAGCCAGGAAUGGCGGGGUAAUUCGGUACACAUUUCCAGAUAACACGUUCCAAAGGGUCAAGUCCAAGUUUCCUCUUGGCUCACACAGGCCAGUCACGGUCUGGCCCCCUCUCUCUCGGCCACAACCAGGCCGUCCCACCUCCAUUCAUGAGGCUGCCACUGCCUGGGAGCCCGCACCUCCUCACGCCGCCUGGCAAAUCCUUCUCGGCCUGCACGGAUGUUGCCAGGUCACUUCAGACAUCACCUCCCCAUGUGACCCUCCCUCGGGGCAGAGCUGACCCGGAACACGGCAGCCCUCCGGCCCUGCCUCCCAGCUCCCCAGCUCCGUCUCCCCAUUUGCUGAGGGGCCCAGACACGCGGCCGUCAGCCCUAGGACGCGGGGUGCGCUGGGCACCCAGGCACUCAGAGAGCUGCCAACCUGGAUCCCCGCAUUGUUCACAUCCAUUUCCCCCACGGACCCUCUCAUACCACCAGACCACAGCCUCAACAGCAGGACACCAACACGGCCACUGGACCACUCGCUCUCAGACCCUUCCCGUUUUGUCAGUUGUCAAAGGACCCAAUGCAGAAUCCCAAUGGCAUUCCUCGUCUUGUCCUUCCGUCUCCUCCAGCCCGGGACAAUCCCUCGGUCUUUGGCUUUCACGUCUUUUAAUGACGUCAGGCCAUCUGUUUUUUUUUUCCCUGGCUUUGCCUCGUGGUUAAAUUCAGGUCACCUCUCUUCAGCUAGAAUCUUCUGGAAGUGGGGCUGGGUUCUUCUCACUGCCUAUCAAUGGCACAGGGCUGCAAUCUGUCCCCUCACUGCAGACGUGUGCUCUGAUCACCUGAUAAAGGUGGUGACGGCCACAGUGAAGUUAUUCUCCCCACCCCUGCUUUCUAAGAGCAGAGGAAAUUUCUCUGACCCUACGUAGCACCCUCAUUCACCCCCAGACCUGCCAGCGGUUCGCUGCUUUGGUUCUACCUGCACAGACUCUGAGUUGCCUAGUGUACUCAGUGACUUAGAACCCAAGAGAGUCAUGAGUCACUCUGAUGCUCAAACCGUCCUCAAUUUGGACAGACGGGCGAAUUCCAGGGGGCUUCUCCGUCCCCCUGACCUGGCUGCACCGGCCUUGGGCACUGCCUUGCUCUCUGCACGAGGUGUUCCAGGCUCGCCCCGGGCGUCCUCUGCCCCAGCCCUAGACCCAGCCGUUCCGCCAAAGAGCCCUGGUUCCCACCCGCUAGUGGAAAACGGUAGAAAUGAGAGGCUAAUCUCGAGUCGGGGUGCUCACUGCUCUCAGCGUGUUAUCUGCCCGCAGGAUAGACAUUCAUUUCUGUGCACAUAAACAUACACACAGACACAUAAAGACACACUCAUUUACGUCUAUGGUUCGCGAAAACCAUGUGCUCACACCAAUACCCCAGCCACAGCCACAGCCACAGCCACAGGCAGGGGCAUCCUCGUGCUGCCCUCUUCUGUCCUUGUGGCUCCUCCUCCAGCAGCGGGAGACCCAGCACCCUGAUCUUUAACACAACUACCUGCACCACCAACCCUUCCAGAUGGAACGCCUUUCCAAUCCAGCCCCCACCCUGCCCCGGAGCUGACACCUGCUGACAGGGUGACCCCCGUUCACCCCACCCAGGCUGGGGCUCCCCACCCGCGUGGCUGCACCUCCGUGGGGGAGGAACACGCACGGCCGUGCCCGGGAUCUCCCCCGCCAGGCGUCGGCCGGCACGUGGCUUCACCCCCAGGCCCCUCAGAGAGGAGCAGGCCGCCCAGGAGCAGGAACGGCGAAGGCGGGAGAGACGGGCUCGCCGCGCUGACCCGCUGCCCUCUGCGGCAGAGCUUCCCGCAGCCUCUCCUCGACUGAGCCUUGAACACGGGCGCUCAGGAAAACCGAAAUCAGGAACUAAGGGGGGAAGAGAGGAUGGGAAUUUGGUGGCAACUGCAAUUUCUGCCACUCCCACUUUUGUCCCCCUUUUCUGGCCGCCCCUCGGCGCAUGGAGUUCCCGGGCCAGGGAUCCGAUCUGA
ensembl:lncRNA